rnacentral:rRNA from 1 species
GACGAACGCUGGCGGCGUGCUUAACACAUGCAAGUCGAACGGAAAGGCCCUGCUUUUGUGGGGUGCUCGAGUGGCGAACGGGUGAGUAACACGUGAGUAACCUGCCCUUGACUUUGGGAUAACUUCAGGAAACUGGGGCUAAUACCGGAUAGGAGCUCCUGCUGCAUGGUGGGGGUUGGAAAGUUUCGGCGGUUGGGGAUGGACUCGCGGCUUAUCAGCUUGUUGGUGGGGUAGUGGCUUACCAAGGCUUUGACGGGUAGCCGGCCUGAGGAGGUGACCGGCCAACUUGGGGACGGGGAUACGGCCCAGCUCCUACCGGGAGGAAGAAGGGGGGAAUAUGGAACAAGGGGCGAAAGCUUGAGGAAGAACCCCCGGUGGGGGAAGGACGGCUUUCGGGUUGUAAACGGCUUCGGCUGGUAAGGAGGGGGAGGGACGGGUAUUGGGUAAGGAAGAACGGCUUAAUUAGUU